UGCCAGCAGCCGCGGUGAUACGUAGGUGGCAAGCGUUAUCCGGAUUUAUUGGGCGUAAAGCGAGCGCAGGCGGUUUUUUAAGUCUGAUGUGAAAGCCCUCGGCUUAACCGAGGAAGUGCAUCGGAAACUGGGAAACUUGAGUGCAGAAGAGGACAGUGGAACUCCAUGUGUAGCGGUGAAAUGCGUAGAUAUAUGGAAGAACACCAGUGGCGAAGGCGGCUGUCUGGUCUGUAACUGACGCUGAGGCUCGAAAGCAUGGGUAGCGAACAGGAUUAGAUACCCUGGUAGUCCAUGCCGUAAACGAUGAAUGCUAGGUGUUGGAGGGUUUCCGCCCUUCAGUGCCGCAGCUAACGCAUUAAGCAUUCCGCCUGGGGAGUACGACCGCAAGGUUGAAACUCAAAGGAAUUGACGGGGGCCCGCACAAGCGGUGGAGCAUGUGGUUUAAUUCGAAGCAACGCGAAGAACCUUACCAGGUCUUGACAUCUUUUGAUCACCUGAGAGAUCAGGUUUCCCCUUCGGGGGCAAAAUGACAGGUGGUGCAUGGUUGUCGUCAGCUCGUGUCGUGAGAUGUUGGGUUAAGUCCCGCAACGAGCGCAACCCUUAUGACUAGUUGCCAGCAUUUAGUUGGGCACUCUAGUAAGACUGCCGGUGACAAACCGGAGGAAGGUGGGGAUGACGUCAAAUCAUCAUGCCCCUUAUGACCUGGGCUACACACGUGCUACAAUGGAUGGUACAACGAGUUGCGAGACCGCGAGGUCAAGCUAAUCUCUUAAAGCCAUUCUCAGUUCGGACUGUAGGCUGCAACUCGCCUACACGAAGUCGGAAUCGCUAGUAAUCGCGGAUCAGCACGCCGCGGUGAAUACGUUCCCGGGCCUUGUACACACCGCCCGUCACACCAUGAGAGUUUGUAACACCCGAAGCCGGUGGCGUAACCCUUUUAGGGAGCGAGCCGUCUAAGGUGGGACAAAUGAUUAGGGUGAAGUCGUAACAAGGUAACCGA
rnacentral:rRNA from 1 species